rnacentral:rRNA from 1 species
CAGCCGCCGCGGUAAUACAGAGGGUGCAAGCGUUAAUCGGAAUUACUGGGCGUAAAGCGCGCGUAGGUGGUUUGUUAAGUUGGAUGUGAAAGCCCCGGGCUCAACCUGGGAACUGCAUCCAAAACUGGCAAGCUAGAGUACGGUAGAGGGUGGUGGAAUUUCCUGUGUAGCGGUGAAAUGCGUAGAUAUAGGAAGGAACACCAGUGGCGAAGGCGACCACCUGGACUGAUACUGACACUGAGGUGCGAAAGCGUGGGGAGCAAACAGGAUUAGAUACCCGCGUAGUCCCUGUCUCUUAUAU